CGCGAACGCUGGCGGCAGGCUUAACACAUGCAAGUCGAACGCCCGUAGCAAUACGGGAGUGGCAGACGGGUGAGUAACGCGUGGGAACAUGUCCUUUGGUUCGGAAUAACUCAGGGAAACUUGAGCUAAUACCGGAUAAGCCCGAGAGGGGAAAGAUUUAUCGCCGAAGGAUUGGCCCGCGUCCGAUUAGCUAGUUGGUGAGGUAAUGGCUCACCAAGGCGACGAUCGGUAGCUGGCCUGAGAGGAUGAUCAGCCACACUGGGACUGAGACACGGCCCAGACUCCUACGGGAGGCAGCAGUGGGGAAUAUUGGACAAUGGGGGCAACCCUGAUCCAGCCAUGCCGCGUGAGUGAUGAAGGCCCUAGGGUUGUAAAGCUCUUUCGGCGGGGACGAUAAUGACGGUACCCGCAGAAGAAGCCCCGGCUAACUUCGUGCCAGCCGCCGCAGUAAAAC
rnacentral:rRNA from 1 species